UUCUGUCGUUAAACAUCGUAUAACAAUAAACAGACGGUCACAAUAAAGUAGAGUGUGCUAACUGCUAGAAGAAGGAAUUUCAGACCAUCUUUGGAGCAUAUAACUACGGCAAAAAUAGAGAGAAGGCUUUCCAGAGGAUAUGGCAUCUAACGUUAAGUUUGAACCAUGUGCAGUAAAGAUAACAUGGAUCAGACCAAUGGAAUAUCUUGCCCAAUGUCAUGCAGCAAGUAAUGAUGAAGCCUGGUUUCAACCCCAGGACUUAGCAGAGCCUUUAUGUGAAAAUGUGUAUUGUGACUCCUCUAAAGAGAGAUAUAUACCAUGCAGCUUUCUCCAUGGAACAUACUCUGGG